rnacentral:lncRNA from 1 species
GGACACCAAAACAGUCCACUACAUACACUAAAAGGGUCAAAUCAGUCCACUACAUACACUAGAGGGGUGCCCCUUCACUAAGGGGCCUUUUGGUCAUUUUACCUAUUAUUUGUAAUACACUAUAAAUAGAAUAAUGUAGGGUUUCAUUAGGAGAUUUUGAUGAAUAUUAUGAGUUUAUAACACUUGAAAUAUUUCCUCUCUAAGGAGAGAAGACCACCAACCCGCAAUUGUAACUAGG